GGGUUAGGAACCAUCCAACACUUACAUUCACCUUCGUGGUACAACCAGCAGUGGAUAGAGGUGGAUACAGAUGCUUUUGGUGCUGUAACAGGCUCAGGUAGUGAUAGCUCCACUAAGGUGGAAAAGUGUCUCACUCUGUGGGGAAUCCCACUGAUCUCAGUGGCAUUAUAAGCAAUAGAAACUAACUGCCAUGAGCUGGGAGUUGUUGGUUGGUCUCUUUUAAUUUAAUCAGAAUGAAAUGUAUUGUAGUCUCGGAUUCCCAAAGGAAGGAUGUCUAUAAUAAUAACCUGCAAUUAUAUCCUAAAUACUCAGAAAGUUUUUUUCUUUCCUGCGGCGCUUGUAAUUUUGCUUGAGAGAAGGAAAAUAAGAAGAAAAUUCCCAAAUGAGGAUUUCUCUAAGCACUACAUGCACAGAACUUUUCAGUGAUAUCAGACAGUAUUUGUUCUUUGAGUGCUAUUCAGUAAAGUCAUCACACCUCUCAGUAGAAGACUCAACUGUUCUCUUAGCUUCCUUCACAAUGAACGGACACUGAAGAUUGCUACACCUGCUGAGCUGGGAAUAUUCAGCCUGGAGAAGAGGAUGCUUAGGGGAGACCUUAUUGCUCUCUAUAACUUCCUGAAGGGAGGUUGUACUGAGCUGUGGGUUGGCCUCUUCUCUCAUGUCCUUAGUGAUAGGACCAGAGGGAACGGUUUCAAGCUACAGCAGGGGAGAUUCAGGUUUGACAUUAGGAGGUAUUACUUCUCCGAAAGGGUGGUCAGGCACUGGAAUGGACUGCCCAGGGAGGUGGUGGAGUCACUGACUCUGGGGGUGCUCAAGGAAUGACUGGAUGUUGUGUUGAGGGACAUGGUUUAGUGGGAGCUAUUGGUGACAGGUGAACGGUUGGACUGGAUGAUCUUUUAGGUCUUUUCCAACCUUUGUGAUUCUAUGACCAGGAACAGCAUAACACACAUGAGAUAUGGUCUGUUGGACAACAACACAUUGCAGUCUUUCCAGUGGAUGUUGUUUCUUGAAGAGCAACUCAACCUCACUCCGCAUACCCUCCAGGCACAGUGAAAAGCAGGGGGUGAGCGAGGUAGGGAUCUAUUCUGCAACACAAGAUUUGGAAAAACUAUUACUCACCAAGAUGGGCUGUGUCCUGCUACUAAAUGCUUUCACCCUAACUCCUCACAGGGCAGUCCCAGCCACUCCUGCAACCAAUCACCAAGGCUACUUUUUGCCUGAAGCCACCCAGUGGCCCCACAGCCCCAACAGGAACCCAGCCCAAUGCACUGGGCACUACUGCACUUUCCCUCAAGUCAUGGAUAACAACCACAAAGGAACAAAUAUGACCUCACAAUGGAUCAUAUUUCAGAAUGGCCUUGAGGCAGAUGCUCAAAGGCAAGCCCUGCUCCUGGUGAGCUAUGCCAGUGUGCUUUAACUGAUGGAGAGCUCUAUGCAAAUUACACCAGAAUAAGCUGUAUCCGCUCCAGGAUGAGCUGCUGUCACCCAGUUCUUCACGCUUGGAGGGGAAGGUGAGAAAUCUUAGGAUCAUAGAAAGGCCUGGUUUGAAAGGACCAUCAGGUUUCAACCCCCUGCUAUGUACAGGGUCACCAACCACCAGACCAGGCUGCCCAGAGCCACAUCCAGCCUGGCCUUGAAUGCCUGCAGGGAUGGGGCAUCCACAGCCUCCUUGGGCAACCUAUUCCAGUGCAUCACCACCUUCCGAGUGAAAAACUUCCUCCUAAUAUCCACCCUAAACCACCCCUGUCUUAGUUUAAAACUGGGACCAUCCACCCAUGGCAGGAGGACCCUGUGUAGCUGCAGACCGGUCCUUUUAUGUUGUGUAAAGCCUGCAAGUUCCUGGAUGUCUCCCAAGUUCUGGAUCCUAAUUACUUCUUUGUCUUAUUCCAGAAUGACAGAGGACCAAAACCACUUGUGGUGUCACCAGGUACAAAGCAACUGACUUGAACUGUCAGCUUCAUACCAUUCUGACCAAGUAGUCUGAACUUCCUCCUGAACUCUAAACAUCUGCCACAGAAUUCAUUCAUUCAGAAUUAAUUCAAGCAACCGGUUUCAUUUGCUGUCCACUGCAGAGCACAGGAACACUACUGCUUUUUAUAACUUCAUCAGUUCCUCUCAGAAGUUUCUAUACAGAUUAAAAAACAACAACAAAGAAACAAACAAACCCCACACUCUUUCUCAUUAAAUAACUGCUUCAGAAUGGUUGCCUCCUUUUACCCAAGUUUUGAGUCCACACCUGUAUGAAAAACUGACUAAUCCCUGCUAAAUUCACCAGCAUUUCACAUAUAAGGACAUGAAAUGACUUAUACCACUUCCAGUGUACCAUCUCCCCGCUCCAUCCAGAAACAGAGCUGAUGUGCUCCUGCUGCCUACCUGCUCCUGCAAAUCCCAUGUAAAUCUGUUGCCCAGCUUCAGCC
ensembl:lncRNA